ensembl:lncRNA
AUGGGCCCUCAGGAACUUCUCUCGCACCUCCCCAGCUCCCUUUGGGCCUGCUGCUCAUGGGGCUGCUCCAAGGCCUGGAACACCAGGGCACGGACACCAGGUAGAGCAGGACCAGAGCCAGCAGUGCCAGUAGUGUGGUGCUGCGCAUGGCGCGCCAGGGGCCCGGCCAACUCCACUGCCCGCCUGGGAGGCUGGGCAGGGGUUCCUGGGGAGCUGCAGUCACUGCAGGCAGAACCAGGGAUGCCGGGUCAAUCAUCUGGCCUGACACCCCUACACCCUCCUUCUCCAACCCUACACACGCAAAGGUCCUGGGGCCCCGGCCUACUACCUGCAGAGGUCUCUCCUCACACCCCUCUGAUCAACCCGCUCCUGGUACCAGGACACACCCAGUGCCCACCCACCCCCACCUCAGUCCUCCCCUUACCUCCACUGCCCGGCCCUCAGCCCCAGUCCGGGACUCCAGGGUGUGAGAAGAGGCACAGGAAAGGAAAGGACGGAGAGUGGAAGGUGGAAACAGAGACAGCCUGCCCAGGGAGGCGGGGCCAGAGAGGAGAUGCUGGGGGCCUGGAGAGGGACCCCGCCUUCCAGCUGGGGGCUGAGGGGAGCAGAGGACCACGCCGGGCAGGGACGUGGAUGGCGGUCCGGCUUGUCCGCCGAGGUUGCAGCAGCAUCUUCGCGGCUUCUCCUCCCUCCUGCCUCUCCUUGCCCGGCUGGGGCGAUAGGCCAGGCUGGGAGCCCCAGGGUCCCCAGCGCCCCGCUGGGCUUUCGAGGAACCCAGGGCGGGUCCCAGUCGCUGCGCAGAGGCGAGGCUGGGUGGAGGGGAAGGGAGGUACCGGGUUCCGGGAAGGAGCGGGAUGGGAGCGACCAGGGCCGGACCAGCGCGGCAUCCCCAGGACAGCUGCCGGCUCCCCGGGACAGAGCGCGGCGACGCCCACGCGCACACGCGGGCACAAAGACCCGCGCGCCCACGCUCCGCCCUGCGGCUCCAGGCGGCCUCGCUGCCCGCGUUGCAUGCACACCGUCCACCUGCACACACCCGGACUCCCGGGCACACCGGACCUUCAGGGCCGUGCGCGCCAGGCCAAGGCCCCAGAGGCCCACACAUGUGCACAGACUCACUUCCACGCACACCCAGAUCGCGGGGCCACCGCGCAGCGCCCGCCGCCCAGACACCGCACACCCGCCACUCGCUCCCACCACCUCCCCACGUCUUCACGCCGACGCCUCAGGCGUGACGGGCGGCAGGCAGGACGCACGGCCGCAGGACUCCCGGAGGUGGGCCCCUCCCAGCCGGUCUCCCCUGCGCGACCCAGCCCGGGAGCCCGGCCUGCGGCCCCGCCGUCCCGCACGCCCUCCCGCGCCCGCGCGCCCGCCCGCUCCGCCCCGCACUCACUGUUGGCCCCGCUGCGGCUGCGGCUGCGGCCUGGCUCCCGUGCGGCCUCGCCGGUGCCGGCGGGGCCGCGGAGGCGGCGGCAGGGGCGGAGCGGGCGGGCGCUGGUGCUGAGACCCCCUUCUGCCGCCAGAAGCCCCCUCCUCCCGUGUUUAACCCUCCAGCACCGCUCUUCCCUCGGUGCCUCGCCCUCGCCUCCGGCUCGGCUCUCCGCAGCCUUACCUGAGGUUGCCCAGCCCCCAAACCCAGCCCGUCCCGGGAGGUGA